ACUUAUUCAAAAUCGGACCAGUCAAGAAAAAAUUAUAGUCUAGCAUAGAUCACCAAGAACCAAAACCAAGUUUGGUUUACAAGAAAACAUGAACAAGUGACUGCGAGUAAGUCAAAGCCUAUACUCAUAACAGGAAGCAGUAUUUAACCAGACAAAACGAUGGACAGAGAUUUGCUAGUGGUCGUAAUCCUCAUAGGCUUCGCUUUUCUGAUUCACUCUAACCAGCUUGAUCAGACCAAUUUUCUCCUGUUGCUGGCUGUGGUGAUCAUCGUUCUGCUGGUGUUAUGAUCAUACAACCUCGUCGUGCAUAGUCUUCCCAAACGUACCUGACGCGGACUAACCCAUCCUUCACACCUUUAACAACAACGAAUAACAAUAAUGUACAAUAACAAUGAUGGACAAUAUACUAAUUUAACUAUGUGAAA
rnacentral:lncRNA from 1 species